AAAGGUAGAUAGACAAUAGCUUGAUUUCAAGAGGAAAGUCCGUGCUGCAGUGAAGCAAGGUUCCAUCUAACGGAUGGCUAGAGUAAUCUAAGGGAUAGUGCAACAGAAAGUAUACAGCCAAUUUUUUUGGUGAUGGUGAAACGGUAGAGUAAGAGCCUACCAGUGUUUUGAGUAAUCUUAACAGCUUUGUAAACCCAACUUGUAGUAAGAAGACAUGGUAUUUAGCUUCACAUUUUUCGUCUUCGCAGGAGUAUUAAAGUGAUUUAAUACCUAGAUAAAUUAUUGUCAAAUACAAAACACGGCUUACAAUCUACCUUUUUCU
rnacentral:RNase_P_RNA from 2 species